AUUGAACGCUGGCGGCAUGCCUUACACAUGCAAGUCGAGCGGCAGCACGGGUGCUUGCACCUGGUGGCGAGUGGCGAACGGGUGAGUAAUACAUCGGAACAUGUCCUGUAGUGGGGGAUAGCCCGGCGAAAGCCGGAUUAAUACCGCAUACGAUCCACGGAUGAAAGCGGGGGACCUUCGGGCCUCGCGCUAUAGGGUUGGCCGAUGGCUGACUAGCUAGUUGGUGGGGUAAAGGCCUACCAAGGCGACGAUCAGUAGCUGGUCUGAGAGGACGACCAGCCACACUGGGACUGAGACACGGCCCAGACUCCUACGGGAGGCAGCAGUGGGGAAUUUUGGACAAUGGGCGAAAGCCUGAUCCAGCAAUGCCGCGUGUGUGAAGAAGGCCUUCGGGUUGUAAAGCACUUUUGUCCGGAAAGAAAUCCUUGGCUCUAAUACAGUCGGGGGAUGACGGUACCGGAAGAAUAAGCACCGGCUAACUACGUG
rnacentral:rRNA from 1 species